GAUGAACGCUGGCGGCGUGCCUAAUACAUGCAAGUCGAGCGAACGGACGAGAAGCUUGCUUCUCUGAUGUUAGCGGCGGACGGGUGAGUAACACGUGGAUAACCUACCUAUAAGACUGGGAUAACUUCGGGAAACCGGAGCUAAUACCGGAUGAUACUUUGAACCGCAUGGUUCAAAAGUGAAAGACGGUCUUGCUGUCACUUAUAGAUGGAUCCGCGCUGCAUUAGCUAGUUGGUAAGGUAACGGCUUACCAAGGCAACGAUGCAUAGCCGACCUGAGAGGGUGAUCGGCCACACUGGAACUGAGACACGGUCCAGACUCCUACGGGAGGCAGCAGUAGGGAAUCUUCCGCAAUGGGCGAAAGCCUGACGGAGCAACGCCGCGUGAGUGAUGAAGGUCUUCGGAUCGUAAAACUCUGUUAUUAGGGAAGAACAUAUGUGUAAGUAACUGUGCACAUCUUGACGGUACCUAAUCAGAAAGCCACGGCUAACUACGUG
rnacentral:rRNA from 1 species